ACUCCUACGGGAGGCAGCAGUGGGGAAUAUUGCACAAUGGGGGAAACCCUGAUGCAGCCAUGCCGCGUGUGUGAAGAAGGCCUUCGGUUGUAAAGACACUUUCUAGUAGGGAGGAAGGUAGUGUAGUUAACACCUGCAUUAUUUGUACGUUACCUACAGAAGAAGCACCGGCUAACUCCGUGCCAGCAGCCGCGGUAAGUACGGAGGGUGCGAGCGUUAAUCGGAAUUACUGGGCGUAAAGCGCAUGCAGGCGGCCUGUUAAGUCAGAUGUGAAAGCCCGGGGCUUAACCUCGGAAUUGCAUUUGAAACUGGCAGGCUAGAGUCUUGUAGAGGGGUUAGGAA
rnacentral:rRNA from 1 species